UCCGUAGGUGANACCUGCGGAAGGAUCAUUAAAGGCCAAGGCUUUGCUGUCUUGAGACUUUGAUAACCCCCCCCCGGGAUCCCGGGCCCUCGACGGGUCCGGGAGCUCGCAGGCCGGCAACCUGUCUGUUGCGGGGCCGCCAAGCGGUGAUCGGUCCCCCGGCUGGCUAGGCCGGGUGGGUGCCGGUGGGCUGCUGCCCGAUGCCCGGGUCUCGUGCCAACUUUGCUCCCUUUUUCUCCCCGGGAACAAAGCCUCUGGAUGCGUGGAAACCUUUUCCUUGUGAAAGCAUAAAGAAUACUGUACAAUACUAUACAGUGGAUCAAUUGGCUCGGGGGUCGAUGAAGAACGCUGCUAAAUGCGUGACACAAUGUGAACUGCAGGACACAUGAACAUCGACACUUUGAACGCAUAUUGCGGGUUUGUGCUUGUAACAAACCCACCCUUGGAUCAGGGUCGGCGAUAGCAUCCAUCAGGACUUUGCUCCUGCCGUGUCCAGUCGGUGGCGCGAGCCAGCGCCUCCGUUGGAUCAAGGUGUGCCCGGCUGUGCGGUUGCCUGCAAUCAACUCUAGGGAUCUCCUUUCCCGGGUUGUCUGCGAGGGGGCCCGCCUGCCGGCUUGUCCGGCGCGCUCUGAGCGCCGGGCUUUUUUUUUUCCAACUUUCGACCUGAUCUCAAGGGAGGCUACCCGCCGAAUUUAAGCAUAUCAAUA
rnacentral:rRNA from 1 species